UUCUUGGCACAUGGAGGAUUCACCCUGUGGGAUACUUUGCUGACUUUUCUCUUCACCUUGACUCAGACACACACAAUAGAAAUAGCAGCUGCGGACUCCUAUGGUUUCAGACCCUGCCCUGUUUCAAUUAGAGAGGCACAUGGAUCUACAGAGGAGGCUUUCAAGGAGGAUUUGUGGGUUUCCUUUUGAGUUUUAACACAUAGGAAAAAAAACAAGUCUUGCGUUGCGCUGCCUGCUUCUCCUGAGUACCUCCAAGCACCUGGCAAGCAGGCAACAGUGUUGCUGCAGUCCCUCUUCUGAUGGGAAACGUGGAGUAUGCUCCAAACGGAUUUUCACCCCUUGGCACACAUCCUACAACACAGGUAAAAUCUGUCCCCAUGGUGAGUUGUCCCAGUGGAAAAACUUAAGUCAAAGGAUGUUGCUGAGAGCAUGGCAAUGCUGGGAAAGAUGGGUAUUUCUCUAUUCCCAGCCACUCCAGGACUGGUAAUCACCUGUUGCUAUGGUGAGGUCACCCUGCCAACAGUUCAGCUCUGGAGGUGGGCCUGGGGCAGUGAACAGCAUCCUCCUGGGGUCUACGAGUGUUGAAGCAGCAUCUCCCUGGCUUCCUGAUCCAAGCCCUGGUUAAUGUUUUCCCAGCCCAGCUUCAUCUGGCUCUCUCUGGGAAGCUGUGCAGAAGCUCUUUCAGCCCCUUCCACAGGGCUGCUGCAGAGGAGGUGGGAAGUAGCUGAAAGAGGAGCGACUGCUGGCAGCUGAGCACAGCUUGUUGGGCAGGUUGACACCAAGGAGCAUUUGUUCUCAGGAUGUCUUUGUGUCCUGGAAGGGCUCUCAGAAGCCCUCAGGAAACACACCCUUGCCUGAAAGAAAGCAAGCACCUCUACAGUUAAUUAGAGAUGCUUGAUUUGCUGAAGCAAAAGCCUUCUCCCUGCCCUACUCCUCUAUUCCCCCCAUUAGGAUAGAGGGAAAUAGCAUAGAUCACCUUCCUCAAGAAGCACCAUCCUUGCCUAGGAAGAGCAGUUGCAGCUCGUCAGAACUGGUAGUACACUGUGCAAACCAAUGGAGGAAUGGUGUAGGAAACUUCUGUCAUGAUGACAAGUCCAGUGAACAUGAACAUCACUGUUCUAUCACAGGGACUGAAAAAGAACAAAACUGGGACAGUUCUACCACACCUGAAGUAAGAAGAGGGACAUCCUUUCCUAUUAUUUUCUUCACUAUGCAAGAAAAAAAAAAAAGAAAUGAAGCACCCACAGAGGGCAAUGUCAAGAUAAUAACAGGAUGGCAUACGAGGCUGCCAAGUGCUUGGAAAAGGCAAAGAGACAGGAUACUUCAUCCUAUUGACCUCCAGUGCUGGCUUCUUUCUCCGUGCUUGUAACAUGAGCUGUCUGGAAGCAAAAUGUCUUUGGAGCAGAAAUAAACUCCCAGACCUCAAAGUACAUGGGUAAAGCCUGUCCCAGAGCUUUUUCUUUCCUUCAGCUGCUUACUCAGAGGAGCUGUUUCACCACCUGCAAAAUGUGGCUGCUUCCAUGACAGGACAUCAGGGGAUGCACUAAACAGUAUUGCAGUUCUGUACAGUUUUGCAGUAAAGUAAAAAAAUAUAUAUAUCCAAUUCCAUUUCACCUAUGAUUGACAAAACACAAAAGCCCAAGCUGGAAUAGAGCUCAGUUCAUAAAGAAUAGCCUAUGCCUUUUAGAAGAGAGGUCUUUCAAGCACUACCUGUGAUUUGUGUUUUACACCCCAGCCACGCUCCCAGCUCUGCUCUGGAGCAAUGUGCCAGGAACCUGGUGUGCAGUUAGUCACCAACUCUGAUAUCUACAGCAGAGAUUUCUUCCCCCGGAGCUCUCCUAGUCCUGUCUUGGCCAGAUGUAACACUGCCUUGCUGAUGAGAUGUGAACAGAUCAGAAGUGUCAACCUAUGUUUUGGAGAAAACAGACUCUGGUGCUUCUGUCAGGCUCUGAGUUGGAAACAAGCAUUGCUGGAUUCCCAACACAAGUUACAACAAAAAAUAAAAAUAAUGAUGAAAAAGAAAACAAACAAAAAAAGCAUUUCUUAGCUUUCAGCAUACUGGGCAUCUGCUCACAUCACUUGUCCCCUGACUCCUCCUUUCCCAAAGCCCAUUAAGGCAGUCCUACAUCAGCACAUGGGAAAGGGCAAAUGAGGCCAAAGACAUAUUCAAGUGGAGCAAAAUCCCGGUCCUUUCAUUCACUUUCUCAGCACUGGGAUUCCUGAUGGGGACAGCUGUGCUCUCAUAAAAGGUGGUUGUAAUUCCUCUCCCCCAUCUCUGCCCAACAAUGAUGGGUCUAAGCCUGCUCAGCAUGAGUGUGGAGCUACAGAGGAGCAGAAGAAAAAGCCUGAGUUAAAUGGAGAACACAAACACAUCUCUGAGCUGCACUAAUGAGAACAUAACUAAUAUGUUACAUAUUCCCAGCAGCACAAAGGAAACCGAAGGGAAGCACAGGCAGUCAGAGGUAUUAUUUCACUUUCUGUAAGCUAGUUCUAUUCACACAAGGGUCUAUCUUUCUAUGUAUUUAAGCUGCUCUACUGGUUUCUCGUACCCUCAGAAAUGCCCUAAACUUUGAAUCCGUGUCUAAAUUGCUCAUCUGUCUAUGCAAAGCUGCAUGAAACUUGAGAUCCAAGGUACAGAGGAAGAGGUGAGCUUUGGUUCAAUAAAAGUGUGGAAAAACUCUUGAAAUCUGCAAGACUGCUUUUAUUCCCUGUGAAGUUUGCUCAGUUCAGUUAGCAACCAGAGAGCUUCUGAGAGCCUCCAGAUUCGCCCAAGCUGCGAGAUGAAAAGAGGUUAGA